UCCCCAAAUGCUAUAAAAAAAUUCAACCUUAUAUAUUGCUACGUUAACAAAAAGAUAUAUUUCUAAUUUAAUCAAUUUGCUACCUCUUAAUGAAACAAAUUAUUGGGUCUCUAGUUUAAUCAAAAAUCAUAAUAUAAAAAUGAAACUGGCCAUCAAAAAUUCAGAAAUGCAGCCAUCUUUAUUUACCAUAGACAAAACAAGCACAUAUGCUUCCAGGGGAAGCAAAGCCAAAGAGCCACGUGAGAGUGAAAAGGAAGGAAAUAUAACAGAGUUAAUACAAAGAAGAUAGAAAUAAACAAAAACCAAAAAGAUUCAGCGGAGAAAUAAGAUGGGCCCUGCCAAUAGCUCAGUGAAGUUGCCAAGCAAGCUAUAGUAAAAAUGGUACAGAAAUGUGAUUCAAAACCCAGAGAAUGAAGAAAAAACAGCACGUACAAAGCACGGGGCCGGAGCAUCGAUGCAAAACAUGACAGCAGGCACAUAAUAUUCAUCCAAAGUGUGAAAUGUAUAGAGCAGAUAAGGAGGCCCUGGAGACAGAGUCAUGUAGCACAAAGAAUCUAGUAGACCA
rnacentral:lncRNA from 1 species